rnacentral:rRNA from 1 species
UACGUAGGGGGCAAGCGUUGUCCGGAUUCAUUGGGCGUAAAGAGCGUGUAGGCGGUCGGCUAUGUCGGAUGUGAAAGCCUCGGGCUUAACCCGAGAAGGGCAUCCGAAACUGGCCGGCUUGAGUACGGAAGAGGGUCUCGGAAUUCCCGGUGUAGAGGUGAAAUUCGUAGAUAUCGGGAGGAACACCAGUGGCGAAGGCGGAGACCUGGGCCGAUACUGACGCUGAGGUGCGAAAGCGUGGGGAGCAAACAGG